rnacentral:rRNA from 1 species
CAUGCAGUCGAGGGGCAGCGGGGUGUAGCAAUACACUGCCGGCGACCGGCGCACGGGUGCGUAACGCGUAUGCAACCUACCCAUAACAGGGGCAUAACACUGAGAAAUUGGUACUAAUUCCCCAUAACAUUCGAAGAGGCAUCUCUUUGGGUUGAAAACUCCGGUGGUUAUGGAUGGGCAUGCGUUGUAUUAGCUAGUUGGUGAGGUAACGGCUCACCAAGGCGACGAUACAUAGGGGGACUGAGAGGUUAACCCCCCACAUUGGUACUGAGACACGGACCAAACUCCUACGGGAGGCAGCAGUGAGGAAUAUUGGUCAAUGGACGCAAGUCUGAACCAGCCAUGCCGCGUGCAGGAUGACGGCUCUAUGAGUUGUAAACUGCUUUUGUACGAGGGUAAGCUCACCUACGUGUAGGUGACUGAAAGUAUCGUACGAAUAAGGAUCGGCUAACUCCGUGCCAGCAGCCGCGGUAAUACGGAGGAUUCAAGCGUUAUCCGGAUUUAUUGGGUUUAAAGGGUGCGUAGGCGGUUAGAUAAGUUAGAGGUGAAAUCCCGGGGCUUAACUCCGAAAUUGCCUCUAAUACUGUUUGACUAGAGAGUAGUUGCGGUAGGCGGAAUGUAUGGUGUAGCGGUGAAAUGCUUAGAGAUCAUACAGAACACCGAUUGCGAAGGCAGCUUACCAAACUAUAUCUGACGUUGAGGCACGAAAGCGUGGGGAGCAAACAGGAUUAGAUACCCUGGUAGUCCACGCAGUAAACGAUGAUAACUCGCUGUCGGCGAUACACAGUCGGUGGCUAAGCGAAAGCGAUAAGUUAUCCACCUGGGGAGUACGUUCGCAAGAAUGAAACUCAAAGGAAUUGACGGGGGCCCGCACAAGCGGAGGAACAUGUGGUUUAAUUCGAUGAUACGCGAGGAACCUUACCC